rnacentral:misc_RNA from 1 species
GAUGAAGAACGCAGCGAAAUGCGAUACGUAAUGUGAAUUGCAAAUUCAGUGAAUCAUCGAGUCUUUGAACGCACAUUGCGCCCCCUGGUAUUCCGGGGGGCAUGCCUGUCCGAGCGUCAUUGCUGCCCUCAAGCACGGCUUGUGUGUUGGGCCCCGUCCUCCGAUCCCGGGGGACGGGCCCGAAGGGCAGCGGCGGCACCGCGUCCGGUCCUCGAGCGUGUGGGGCUUUGUCACCCGCUCUGUAGGCCCGGCCGGCGCUUGCCGAUCAACCCAAAUUUUUAUCCAGGUUGACCUCGGAUCAGGUAGGGAUACCCGCUGAACUUAAGCAUAUCAAUAGGCGGAGGA